ensembl:misc_RNA
GGGGAGUACAGAAUGGAUGUGGGAGAACGGAGUCAUUUCUGGACCUGCCAGAGAUCCCCAUACAAACAUCUCCAACCUUGGCUCUCCUGACCU